rnacentral:rRNA from 1 species
UACGGAGGGGCAAGCGUUGUUCGGAUUUACUGGGCGUAAAGGGUGUGUAGGCGGCUGGAUAAGUCUGGCGGUGAAAUCUUCACCGCUUAACGGGAAGGGGUCGCUGGAAACUGUCAGCUUGAGUAUGGUAGAGGCAAGCGGAAUUCCGUGGUGUAGCGGUGGAAUGUGUACGAUAUCAGGAAGAACACCGGUGGCGAAGGCGGCUGCUGGCCGAUCACUGACGCUGAGACACGAAAGCGUGGGGAGCAAACGGG